rnacentral:lncRNA from 1 species
AAGGAGGAGGAGGCAAGGAUCCAGGACAACUCCAGGGGACUCAUGAGAAACAAGGAUAUCCACCACUAGAG